AGUGAUCGCUGGCGGCGUGCUUAACACAUGCAAGUCGAGCGGAUUCUUACAGCGUAUCGUAAGAGUUAGCGGCAGACGGGUGAGUAAUACUUGGGCAAUCUGCCCUCGAGUGGGAAACAACCGGCCGAAAGGCUGGCUAAUGUCCCAUAAGACCACGGGAUGGCAUCAUCCAGGGGUCAAAGCUCCGCAAGGGGCGCUUGAGGAGGAGCCCGAGUCCUANCAGCUAGUUGGUGAGGUAACGGCUCACCAAGGCUUUGACGGGUAGCCGGCCUGAAAGGGUGAUCGGCCACACUGGCACUGAGACACGGGCCAGACUCCUACGGGAGGCAGCAGUAAGGAAUAUUGGUCAAUGGACGCAAGUCUGAACCAGCCAUGCCGCGUGAAGGAUGAAGGUCCUCUGGAUUGUAAACUUCUUUUAUGUGGGACGAAAUGCAUUCUUUCUAGAGUGUUUGACGGUACCAUAGGAAUAAGCACCGGCUAACUCCGUGCC
rnacentral:rRNA from 1 species